UCCCUCAUAGCUCAGUUGGUAAAGAAUCUGCCUGCAACGCAGGAGACCCAGGUUUGAUUCCUGGGUCGGGAA
rnacentral:tRNA from 1 species